rnacentral:rRNA from 1 species
UGGGGAAUUUUGGACAAUGGGCGCAAGCCUGAUCCAGCCAUGCCGCGUGAGUGAAGAAGGCCUUCGGGUUGUAAAGCUCUUUCGGUGGGGACGAAAAGGUUCGUGCUAAUACCACGGACUAAUGACGGUACCCGAAGAAGAAGCACCGGCUAACUACGUGCCAGCAGCCGCGGUAAUACGUAGGGUGCAGGCGUUAAUCGGAAUUACUGGGCGUAAAGCGUGCGCAGGCGGUUUGUUAAGACAGAUGUGAAAUCCCCGGGCUUAACUUGGGAAUUGCGCUUGAAACUAGAUCGCUAGAGUACGGCAGAGGGGGGUAGAAUUCCACGUGUAGCAGUGAAAUGCGUAGAGAUGUGGAGGAACACCGAUGGCGAAGGCAGCCCCCUGGGCCUGUACUGACGCUCAUGCAUGAAAGCGUGGGGAGCAAACAGGAUUAGAUACCCCCGUAGUCCCUGAGCGGGCUGGCAAGGCGCAU